GGGCCGCUGGUCUAGUGGUAUGAUUCUCGCUUAGGGCUCACCCUGAACAAACAACAACGCUGUUCGUUGCUGCGAGAGGUCCCGGGUUCAAUCCCCGGGUGGCCCC